UCUAAUCUCUUCUUUUAUACUCACUUUUCCAUGCUUGAGGGCAAAAAUAGAAUGGUGAUUUUUCAUGAUGCAUGUUCGGUCUUUGUUCUUUAAACAUGUUAUUGGGCUGUUGAGUGAAUGUUUCCAUGAUUGAGAGGAAGUAUUGGGGUGGUUCUAUGUUAAAAUUUUAUGUUUAAACUUUGUGCUCAUCAAUUGUUUGAUCAAUUUCCCCAACGAAAUUUGAACAUGUUUGUGCACUUCUAUGACAAACAAGAGGAAAACAACUUCCAACCAGACACGAAGGAUUCUACAGGAAAUUGGACGAAAGAUAAGCUUAUAUCAUUGCGCAUAUACACCUAAUUCAGCAUUGUGAUUGAUGAGAGGAGAGGGGAGGAUGUUGAUGGCAGCGGAGAAUGAUGAUGAGCCUCAGAGCUCAGAUUGAUGGAGUUCUUUCACUUUUCUUUUUACCGUUGUAUUUUAGUUUUCUUUGUUUUUUAUUUAAUUAAGUUUUGCAUGAUA